rnacentral:lncRNA from 1 species
UCACCCUUGAAUGCAUGUAUUUAUUGCCUACUACAGGAUGAGUUAACACUGUGUUACAGGUGAGUAGGACAGAUAUGUAUUAAUGUCCUCAACAUUUGGACAGGUGGAUAUCUUCAGGACAGGGUUGGGGGGUCAAUCCAUUUCAAUUUCAGUCAAUUCUUGAAGUAAACUGAAAUUCCAAUUCUCCUCAAAAUGAUUCUAUUUUAAAGUAAUUUCAGUCAACUUCCUGAAUGACUGAAUAAAUGGAUUGAUGCCAAGCCUUUUUUUAUAGGUAACAGCACAACAAGUUGACAUCACAUAUGACACUACAACAAAUCAAUAUGGUUCUCAGAAAGCAAAAAAAAAAACAAGUGUUUAUCGCUAUAUAACAGAGUGCUUCUCAAAUGGCACCCUAUUCCCUAUUUAGCGCACAUACUCUGGCAAAAAGUCCUAUGGCCCCUUGUCAAAAAAGUUCACUAGAUAGGGAAUAGGUGUGCCGUUUAGGACACAAUCACAGACUCCCUCUGGGAAAACUAUUUAAGGAUCCAGAUUUGAUGACGGAAUGACUCAGUUCAGUAAUCUCCAUGAAGGAUGAGAUUUGGAUAUAUAAAAUGUUUAGCGCCAAAAUGUUGGAUGCUACUAGUCGUGUACUAGGAUUAGAUUAUCCAAAUCACCAACCACCUACACAGGAUUUAGAUUAUCCAAGAUGCCCCAACCCUACACAGAUUAGAUUAUCCAAAUCCCCAACCAUACACAGGAUUAGAUUAUCCAAAUCACCAACCCUACACAGGAAUUAGAUUAUCCAAAUCACCAACCCUACACAGGAUUAGAUUAUCCAAAUCCCCAACCAUACACAGGAUUAGAUUAUCCAAAUCACCAACCCUACACAGGCCUAUAUAACCCCGCAGCUGCAUAGUCACCUGAAUUCAUUACAAUAUACAGGUAACUGCCAAAAUAAAGUAUAAACACAAACAUCAAGUGUCCUAAUAGGGCGUUGGGCCUCCACCAAUCAGAACAGGUUCAAUAGGGGGCGUUGGGCCUCCACCAAUCAGAACAGGUUCAAUAGGGGGCGUUGGGCCUCCACCAAUCAGAACAGGUUCAAUGCACCUCGUCAGAGAUUCUACUAGAGUCUGGAACUCUAUUGGAGGAAUGAGACACCAUUCUUCCACGAGAAAUGACAUCAUUUGGUGUUUUGUUGAUGCAGAAAACGCAGUGUCUCGGCCUGACAUCUGUUGACUGACACACACAGCCUUCAAACCCCCUAUGCUCCUUUCAGACCCCUCUUUCUAAGCCACUGGACAUCUCUUCUUCUAGACAUGGUAGCCAAAAUAAUGGGCAACUGGGACAUUUUUAUACAUGACCCUAAGCAUGAUGGGAUGUUAAUUGCUUAAUGAACUCAGGAACCACACCUGUGUGGAAGCACCUGCCUUCAAGUAUAGUGUUUCCUUUAUUUUGGCAGUUCUACCUGUAUAUUAAGAAAACAAUCCAACCCAACACAAGGUUUGUGGUCAGUGAGUUCCCAGCUGUAAGUAGCUCCAGUUGCUAGCAUCACAAAAGACAGGGAUUAUUGGUUGGUCUUGUAAAGAAGUGCAGAAGAUCCUCAACACUGCUGGUUCCCCUCUAACCAGGGGAGUGAACGAUCAAUACAUUAACUACCAGGGGAGUGAACGAUCAAUACAUUAACUACCAGGGGAGUGAACGAUCAAUACAUUAACUACCAGGGGAGAGAACAAUCAAUACAUUAACUACCAGGGGAGUGAACGAUCAAUACAUUAACUACCAGGGGAGUGAACGAUCAAUACAUUAACUCAGUUUAGUAGGUUUAGGUGUAUUCGUUGAGUUAGUAGUUAGUAGAGGU